rnacentral:rRNA from 1 species
CCUUCUGGUUCGGAUAGCCCUGGGAAACUAGGGCUAAUACCGGAUACGCCCUUUUGGGGAAAGGUUUACUGCCGGAAGAUCGGCCCGCGUCUGAUGUACCUAGUUGGUGGGGUAACGGCCUACCAAGGCGACGAUCAGUAGGCUGGUCUGAUAGGAUGAUCAACCACACUGGGACUGAGACACGGCCCAGACUCCUACGGGAGGCACCAGUGGGGAAUAUUGGACAAUGGGCGCAAGCCUGAUCCAGCCAUGCCGCGUGAGUGAUGAACGCCUUAGGGUUGUAAAGCUCUUUUAUCCGGGACCAUAAUGACUGUACCGGAUGAAUAAGCCCCGGCUAACUUCGUGCCAGCAGCCGCGGUAAUACGAAGGGGGCUAGCGUUGCUCGGAAUCACUGGUCGUAAAGGGCGCGUACGCGGCGUUUUAAGUCGGGGGUGAAAGCCUGUGGCUCAGCCACAGAAUGGCCUUCGAUACUGGGACGCUUGAGUAUGGUAGAUGUUGGUGGAACUGCUAGUGUAUACGUGAAAUUCUUAGAUAUUCGCAAGAACACCAGUGGCGAAGGCGGCCAACUGGACCAUUACUGACGCUGAGGCUCGAAAGCAUGAGGAGCAAACAGGAUUA